rnacentral:lncRNA from 1 species
AUGCAGAAAAUAGUCAGUAAUUGCUUCUCCUUUCAACUUUUCUCUUUAGUCCCUUCUCAGUCUGAUUCAGCAAACAGUGAUUGCCUGUCUUCUACCUGCUGGGAGUUUGCUGAGCCUUGUGUGCUGACAAAAAGAGUCAAACUCUGUAAAAUAUUUGAGGAGAUUUAUUCUGAGCCAAAUAUGAGUGGCCAUGGCCCAUGACACAGCCCUCAGGAGGUCCUGAGAACAUGUGCCCAAGAUAUUUUUAGUUGACAGCCUAAUAGACCAACUCAUUGUGAUAACCCCAAAGAAGAUAAAGAAUAAAUUCACCCAGUUCUUUAUAAGAGAAACAUCUAAUUGCCAGGGGGAAACUACCGCUUUCACAAUUCAAGCAGCCUCUUGACAAUCUGAUCUGGAGUCCGUCAUGGUCAGAUUCAGGAAUCAUCAAGCUGAGAACUUGAAAUGAAGCACAAACCCACACCAGCCAGUGCAGCCACAGAGGGAGAAUAAAGAUCAACAAAUAAAGGUGAAGAGAAAUGUAAAGGAAAAAACCCACAUUAAAUGGAUUUCAAACACAGUGUUAAAAACAUUAGCUAAUAUCUGAUGUGGAAAAUGCAAUGUUUUCAAAUUUGAAAUAAUCCGGGCAUUCUGAAAUUGAUAGUGUAGGUGCCAAGGGAAAACCUCUUUGUCCUCUGAAGGUUCCUCCCAGGCAGCAGGACACAGACAGAAUAAAUGGUAAAUAUUUCUUUCAGGCUUUGUUUUUUUUUUUUUUUUUUAAUUGUAAAAAAUAACUUUAGAAUUUUUUUUUCACUUAGAUUUGCAUGGUUGCAAGAUUUACUUUUAUUUCAUUUUAUUUUUAACUUUUAUUUUAGAUUCAGGGAUACAUGUAUGUGAAGGUUUGUUAUAUAAGUCAAUUAAAUGUUGUAGGGGUUUGGUGUGCAGGUUAUUUUGUACCCAAGUAAUAAGUAUAGUACUCUACUGGUAAUUUUACAAUCCUUACCAUCAAAUAGGCCCCAGUGUCUGCCAUUCCCUUCUUUGGGUUUAUAUGUAGUUGAUAUUUAGC